AGGUGUAUGUGGCUCGUGCCUUAGCCACUUGAGCCACAGGCGCCAAGUCUUCCCCUGCUUUAUUACUUGGUACGGAGGGAACUAUGGAUCACGCUCUUGCCCGCUGGCUUCUGCAUGGUUUGGCCACUGGGGGGGGGCAAUAAUAAAAGCUUGGUGGGCAGUAGGAGCAUCGCAAAGCUGGGGAAUCCCUCCCCUUCCCUUUGCUUCCUGUGGCAUCUUCUUCCUGAUCUCAGCACCCUCUGAAUCUGGAAUUAUCCUAGUUAACAAUGAGGGAGCUUCCUUGAACACCUCCAUGUCUUAAGUGCUUUAAUGGGUUGAUCUUAUUUAAUCCAUUUAACAACCCUAUGAAGUGGAUACUGCAAUCAUUAGCCCCAUUUUACAGGUGAGAGCACUGAGUCUCAGAGUGGUUACUGCCAUCCCACGCCUAGUCAGUGGUGUAGCCGGAUUGUCAAACAAGCAUCUGACUCCAGAGUCCCAGCUCAUUUUACUCACCAAGGUGUGUGUGUGUUACACAGGGGGUCUUUGUGUGGCAGGCUCAAGCCUUGCUCUAAUUAGUAAACCACAACCCUGACCACUGGGCAGAGCUGCCCCCAAAGGCGGUAGCCGUUAACAGGUUUUGACAGACACAACUGGCUGGGCCUGAGAGAGAUUCUGCAGCUUUGAUGGGAGACAGGAUCCCAUCCGGGCAGUUCCAGGAGAGAGCUGGCUUUGCUUUGAACAGGUAACUCAAUAGAAAGGAGAAGAAAAAGUGGAGGGGUGGUGGGAGGGGAGAGGCGGGGAGAGGAAGUCCCCUGUUUCACAGAGCCCAGCCCUGAGAAGACACUCUCUGAUGACCAGGGGAAGGGCUUUGAAAAGUGGAGGGCAGCACCUCAAACCCCGCUCCCUGAAAGUGGGGGUGGAUCCCGACAGAAAUCACAUGGGGACCCCUGCUGUGGAGCCGGGGAGGCUGGAAAGGAGUUCAGGUGAUAAAAAAAAAAAAAAAAAGAUGUUAAUAGAGGACUGUGAUGCAUCUGUCUGUAAUUCCAGUCUCCGAAUUCCCAGUUGGAAACCCUGGGGAAAGAGUGCCAGCAGGCUGCUGCGGCCACCGGCCUGCCAGACUCUGCUCGCCCGAAGUGGUGCUCAGAGCAGGGGCUCCUUUGUUAGUUGUGAUGUGAGAGUUGCCGUGAGAAGCAUGGCUGACUGGACAUCUUGGUGCAAACGCACAUCUCUUUAACUCCCUCCUUCUCCCAGAUGCCUGAAUCAUUUACUGGCCCACAAACAUGGGGUGUCUAUUAUGCCUCUGGUUGAGAAAGAGGAACCCCCUGGGUGCUUCCAGUCUAUUCUUCAAGAAGAACAUUUUAGAACACAAAAAUCGGGUCAUGCCACUUCCCUGCUGAAAUCCUUUCAUGCCUUCCUAUUGUGCUCAGACAAAAAUUCAACCCCCUUCCUCGGCCACCCAGCCCCUGUGUGAUCUGGCCCUUGCCUCAGGCAGCCUCACUUCGGACCAUUGUGCCUGCCAUUCAGUGGCCAAACAGCUGCUGCCCAUCACCACCACAGGGCCUUUGCACAUUCCUUUCCCUCUUCUGGCACCUCCCUUCAGGCUGCUCUUCGUAAGCCUGGCCCCUCCAUGUUCUCUGGCUUCAGGUACAUGCCAGGUGGCAGGCAUUUCUCUUCAGAAACAGGUCUAUUCUUUUCUCUCUCGACAUCCUUUAUGGUAAUCCGACUACGUGUAAUGAUUUAUUGCCUGUCCUGUUCGUUGGCUUCUUCAGCCCCCUCCCUGGAUGCAGAGACCUCGUCUGUUGUGAAUGAGCCCCUUCUCAGUGUCCAAGCACAGGAAGGGUGCUCGGUGGCUCUUCAUGGAAUCCGUGACUGGCUGAAACACAGAGCAGAGCUGGAAGCUGCUGCAGGAGGCGUGGGAGCUGCUGGGGUCCCGGAGGGCUGGGGACACAGUGUCAGCAAGUAGGAGCUGGCUGGCAAAAGAAGGGGAGACUCUGGCCAAAGGGGACCUCUGCCGAUCUGCUUCCAGGGGUUCCUGAUCUGUCUACGGGUGUCUGACCCUCCACUGGCAAACCCUGUGUGUGGUAGGUGUGGGCGCAGGUCAGCUUUGCCACCUUUGUUUCAUUUGGGUCAAUUUCCAGGGCUGAGGACACCAGCUCCUUCUGUAUUUCAUUCUUGCCCCCUUUUUGCAUCUGUGUGACGGCAACGAAGCCAUGUGUGGUGACUCCGCUAUCCCACCACGUUUUCACCUGUACUGAGAUGGUGCCGGCGAAGCCGCAGCAAAAGACAGGACGAACACACAAAGGAAAGACGCCCCGGUGUGCACACACACAGGCACGCACGGGGCGCAACUGGUGUAUAUUUUUAAACGCUACGUGUGCAUGUGUUGUUUAGACACACAUAACCAGUGGAAGAACUGAGAACCGUAAUCAGGUGUGUUGGGAAGGAGCGGCGAGCGGUGGGAGAGUUUUCGAGUAAGCUGAGUCUUCCUAUAUCCAGCCAGAAGGUCAAGUGCACAGUCAAUAAAGCAAAUGGUGACAAAAGCAGGUUAUUCAGAGACAUGGAAGUGACGACCAGCAGAACUAAACCCAGAAAUGAUUUAAAAAAUUAAAAUGCAGUGUGCUAUCCCAUGGUUUAAUGUGAUGUUUAAAUAUAUACCAUAUCUUUUAUAGUAUUAAUACACAACUUGUUUUUCUUUCAUAAGAGACAAAGACAGAUGCAAUUGCAGCAGGAAGAGGGGGAUAGUGAGAAGGAACGUGCCAAUGCCACUUAAAAAUCCCAAGUCCAGACUGCACGUGUCUCCGGGUUCACCUCUCCCAGGUCGCUCAGGCUAGUUGCACAGACCAUUGUUUUUCUGGCAAGUUUGCGCUGGUCUUGCCCCAACGCUGUGCUCCUGGGAGUAUCUUACAUCCCGACAGCCAUGUGACUCCAACAUCUUCCUUCACCAUCUGAUGCUAAAUGACAUGUUGGAAUAGAGUCGUGAUAUUCAAGUUGCGCCUGGCAGUUUGAAAGCUGCUUUCUCAUGCCUCAUCUCAUUUGCUGCUGGCCACAACCCAGUAAGACAACUGGGAUGAAGGAGGACAGAGAAUUUCUGAAAUGCGAACAUGCCUCUGCAGCCUCUAUCAACUCUGACUUCAGAGGGAAACUGGAGACACAGGUUUGGAGGACGCAGGAUACACACUCCAUGUCCGGGCUGCGUGGAUGGCCCUGAGCACAGAAGAUCCAUCACCCUCAGCUCGGACGCACAGCAGGCGCCAAGGAGCAGGCAGCAAGCUGGAUAGUGUCCCAGUGAGCCUCCAGUGGCUCCCUGGCUCACUCAGGGUGAGUGCCACAGUUCCCUGCGUGACCCACCCGUCCCGCCUCGACCUCACCCCGGGGUUUCCUGCCCUUGCUUGCUCUCUGCCAGCCAGACCAGCCUUCUGCUCUUCCUCAGAGGCCCCGGGCACGUCCUCGUGAUGUCAGUCCCAGGGAGGCGCUGGCCUCUGACGCCUGCCUGAAGAGCACCCUGCUCUGUCGCUCCCGGAGCUCUUCCUUCUGACGGAUUCUGCCUGCAACUCCACGCUCCGCCUGUCACUGUGCACCUGUCUCCCAUCUUCCUCAUGUGCCUACAAGCACAGGACCAUGUCUGCCCACACAGCUGUUACCUUCUGUCUCAAAAUGUCUCCUCAGGAUUUUAAUUUAUGGAAGUGAGUCGUCAAUUCAGAGG